rnacentral:rRNA from 1 species
AUGCUUCAAUGGGUAGUCCAGAAGAGAUUGCUUUCUGACUUGGGGCUGGACAGUGGCAUCCCAAGGGCAUCCAUAUUUGCUGACGAUGCAGUCAUCUUCUUCAAGCCACAAAUCGCGGAUCUGCGGGUGAUUUCGGAAAUUCUUCAACUUUUUGGCAAAGCCUCAGGGUUGCAUAUCAACCUGCAGAGGAGCUCGACUACCUGCAUUCGAUGUGAGGAGGAAGUGAGCUCC